rnacentral:misc_RNA from 1 species
GAAAUGCGAUAAGUAAUGUGAAUUGCAGAAUUCAGUGAAUCAUCGAAUCUUUGAACGCACAUUGCGCCCGCCAGUAUUCUGGCGGGCAUGCCUGUUCGAGCGUCAUUACAACCCUCAGGCCCCCGGGCCUGGCGUUGGGGAUCGGCGGAAGCCCCCUGCGGGCACAACGCCGUCCCCCAAAUACAGUGGCGGUCCCGCCGCAGCUUCCAUUGCGUAGUAGCUAACACCUCGCAACUGGAGAGCGGCGCGGCCACGCCGUAAAACACCCAACUUCUGAGUGUUGACCUCGAAUCAGGUAGGAAUACCCGCUGAACUUAAGC